CCCAGCUCGAGGAACGUCGAACGGGGCGGGAGUUAGAGAAGCCGACUGAGGGUGAGGCGGGAGGGGCGGUGAGAAGAGGCGGCUGGAUUCACGGUCUUGCUGCCGCUGAACUCGUCUGUACCGAAGCCGCGGCUCGUGGGGAGACUCGAGGAAGACUUCGGUGCGCCUCGGCUCCCGGGUCUACCUUCCCGCGUCAGUUCCGCGCGGGCCGAAGCAGCUGUGUGCCCUCCCCUGUCUUCGCCCAAGUUGCCGGCCUCUCGGAGAACGGUGGCGCCCCCGCGCUGGCUUCCCCAAACUCACCUCUUAAGUGGCGGUGUUAGUGCGACCUUAGAGAGAGACCGAGACCGAACACGAGCGGGGAAGGGGCAGAGAGAGGAAGACACAGAAUCUGAAGCAGGCUCCAGGCUCUGAGCUGUCAGCACAGAGCCUGACUUUAGGCUCGAACCCACGGACUGCAAGAUCAUGACCUGAGCCGAAGUGGGAUGCUUAACCGAUUGAGCCCCCGGGGCGCCCCAAAUGCUCAUCAUUCUGUAUGUAUGUAUAUAUGUAUAAUAUAUAAUGUAUAUAUAUAAACAAACCAAUACAUGUGUUUGUAUAUGCAUACAAAAUUCAAGUCUGGAAAGCUAAUCAUCAAAACUUACCACUGGAUAAGAUAUGAGAAAAGUGGGUGAUGAGAGGACAUUUUUUACCUUAAAUAUUUCAGUACUACUUGAAUUAUUUCACAGCAUGCAUUAUGUAAAGUUCCUUAUUAAUCAUAAAGUGGUGAUUUAAAUAGAUCUUGUGAAACAUCA